AUUGAACGCUGGCGGCAGGCCUAACACAUGCAAGUCGAGCGGAUGAAGGGAGCUUGCUCCUGGAUUCAGCGGCGGACGGGUGAGUAAUGCCUAGGAAUCUGCCUGGUAGUGGGGGAUAACGUCCGGAAACGGGCGCUAAUACCGCAUACGUCCUGAGGGAGAAAGUGGGGGAUCUUCGGACCUCACGCUAUCAGAUGAGCCUAGGUCGGAUUAGCUAGUUGGUUGGGUAAAGGCCUACCAAGGCGACGAUCCGUAACUGGUCUGAGAGGAUGAUCAGUCACACUGUAACUGAGACACGGUCCAGACUCCUACGGGAGGCAGCAGUGGGGAAUAUUGGACAAAGGGCGAAAGCCUGAUCCAGCCAUGCCGCGUGUGUGAAGAAGGUCUUCGGAUUGUAAAGCACUUUAAGUUGGGAGGAAGGGCAGUAAGUUAAUACCUUGCUGUUUUGACGUUACCAACAGAAUAAGCACCGGCUAACUUCGUG
rnacentral:rRNA from 1 species